UUUUUUCCCGAUUUUAGCAAAAAAGGCUUCUUUUAUCAGAACAAUUGGUCGCUGGAAAUGGCUUCAUCCGUCAGCGUUGAUGCUAA